GUGCAGGUGGUGUUGCAGUAUUGGUUAAUCAGUGCAGGUGGUGUUGCAGUACUGGUUAAUCAGUGCAGGUGGUGUUGCAGUACUGGUUAAUCAGUGCAGGUGGUGCUGCAAUGCUGGUUAAUCAGUGCAGGUGGUGUUGCAGUAUUGGUUAAUCAGUGCAGGUGGUGUUGCAGUACUGGUUAAUCAGUGCAGGUGGUGUUGCAGUACUGGUUAAUCAGUGCAGGUGGUGCUGCAAUGCUGGUUAAUCAGUGCAGGUGGUGUUGCAGUAUUGGUUAAUCAGUGCAGGUGGUGUUGCAGUACUGGUUAAUCAGUGCAGGUGGUGUUGCAGUGCUGGUUAAUCAGUGCAGGUGGUGCUGCAAUGCUGGUUAAUCAGUGCAGGUGGUGUUGCAGUACUGGUUAAUCAGUGCAGGUGGUGCUGCAAUGCUGGUUAAUCAGUGCAGGUGGUGUUGCAGUACUGGUUAAUCAGUGCAGGUGGUGCUGCAAUGCUGGUUAAUCAGUGCAGGUGGUGUUGCAGUAUUGGUUAAUCAGUGCAGGUGGUGUUGCAGUGCUGGUUAAUCAGUGCAGGUGGUGCUGCAAUGCUGGUUAAUCAGUGCAGGUGGUGUUGCAGUAUUGGUUAAUCAGUGCAGGUGGUGUUGCAGUACUGGUUAAUCAGUGCAGGUGGUGUUGCAGUGCUGGUUAAUCAGUGCAGGUGGUGCUGCAAUGCUGGUUAAUCAGUGCAGGUGGUGUUGCAGUACUGGUUAAUCAGUGCAGGUGGUGUUGCAGUGCUGGUUAAUCAGUGCAGGUGGUGUUGCAGUGCUAGUUAAUCAGUGCAGGUGGUGUUGCAGUGCUAGUUAAUCAGUGCAGGUGGUGUUGCAGUGCUAGUUAAUCAGUGCAGGUGGUGUUGCAGUGCUAGUUAAUCAGUGCAGGUGGUGUUGCAGUGCUAGUUAAUCAGUAUGUAAAGUAGAGCCAGUAGAAUCUAGGUCUGCUGCUGAUUAAAUAUUAACUGGGCCUGGUGAUCCCUCCACCAUGGAGCUGAUCUUACUGUUGGGCUGGAUUAUUAGAAUGGGUUAGAGUUGGAGAUGGGUGUUGAGAGGAAAGGAGAGGUAUUUAAUGUGUGCUGGUGCGUGCUGGUGCGUCUGUGUGUCUGUCAUGGACUCAUAUCAGCAUUAUGGUGGUCUGUGGUGUUGGUGGUGUCAGGAGAUAGGACAGAGAUAGGACUGAGACAGGGCUAGAGAUGAGACCAUGCUGGGACCCUCCUGCAGAGGAUAUGUUUUCUGACAGUUACAGGCUGUGCUUGCAUGUGUGCGUGCAAGAGAGAGAAAGAUCUGCUGUGCUAGGGACAGCGAUCAGUGGAAGGCUAAUGACUUAUCCAACCUACACACACACACACACACACACACACACACACACACACACACACACACACACACACACACACACACACACACACACACACACACACACACACACACACACACACACACACACACACACACACACACAGAGACAGACAGACAGACAGACAGACAGACAGACAGACACACACAAGCUGCACGUGAAUUUAUUCUGAUAAUGGAUGCAUUUUUAAUACACCAUGAAUGUAAACACAUUAUUGUUGCCAGACCUACAACCUCUUAUAAAGUGCAAAUGGCAUUUGAGAAAACAACAUUACAUUCUUAUUACACUAAGUUAUGAUUGCUUGUCUCCCCACUCAGUUUAAUUGUAUAUGUUGCAAUGUACUGUAAAUGACCAGACUCUUUAAUAAAGAAUAACUGUUUUUCUCGA